rnacentral:rRNA from 1 species
AUUGAACGCUGGCGGCAGGCCUAACACAUGCAAGUCGAACGAGUGGCGGACGGGUGAGUAAUGUCUGGGAAUCUGCCUGAUGGAGGGGGAUAACUACUGGAAACGGUAGCUAAUACCGCAUACCAUCAGAUGUGCCCAAAUGGGAUUAGCGAGUUGGUGGGGUAACGGCUCACCAAGCCGACGAUCCCUAGCUGGUCUGAGAGGCUGACCAGCCACAAUGGCACGGAGACACGGUCCAGACUCCUACGGGAGGCAGCAGUGGGGAAUAUUGCGCAAUGGGAGCAAGCCUGAUGCAGCCAUGCCGCGUGUAUGAAGAAUGCCUUCGGGUUGUAAAGUACUUUCAGCGGGGAGGCGUUACCCACAGAAGAAGCACCGGCUAACUCCGUGCCAGCAGCCGCGGUAAUAC